rnacentral:lncRNA from 1 species
CAGAGUACUCGUUCCUGCAACAGUGGUUCUCAAUCACCUGUAGUUUUUAUUUUGUGGUUUCCGUUCUCGUGAGUCAUAUUUUAUUGGAUGUAUGUAUUACUUUUUUUUUUUAGAAUAUAGUGGAUUUACGGUGUUAUUUCAAUUUCUCAUGUACAGUAUAGUCAGUACAGUGACAGAGUCAUUCAUAUAUAUAUAUAUAUAUAUAUUUUUUUUUUUUCUCAUACUGCCUUCCAUCACGUUCUAUCCCAAGAGACUGGAUAUAGUUCCCUGUGCUAUUUAGUUUGGUAGAUACAAACUAUUACCUAAGGAGAUUUAUAUUUUUAAAUGAUUUUUAUGUUUUCCAUUGUAGCUGGUUUACAGUGUUCUGUCAUUUCUUACCUGGCAAGAUUUUUAAACUUCAGCUGCCUGGGCCCCCAGAGAGUCCCAGGGGUCAGGAUGCUUCUUUUGUUCCAACGAGGGACUUAAUAACCGGCAGAGGCCGACCGGGGCCAACGGGGCCUGGUGGACCUGGGAGAAAUGAAGCCCUCUUUUUGUGCUCCGAGGGUGUGUGUGUGUUUAUUGGCAUCAGCAACUUAAACCUAAACGCUACCUUUGGAUGCGAUCAGCACAGGGAAGUGUUGGGAUGGUUACAGUGCCAAGGAAAUGACAGUUCGCCUGGCAGUCGGACAGCCACUCCUUUAAAGGGCUGAGGCGAGCUUCAGCUUGAGGAGAGGGGCUGUUCAGGACUGCAGCGCGGCCAUCCUCAUUUGGGACUGGGGCAGCCCCUCUAGGGUGAUGCUUCAGACUGGGGAGGGGCCACGGCCUCCAGGGUGACUUUGAGCAAGUCCCUUCCCUGCCAUGACCUUCAGGAGCUCCAGGCCCUGCCGCCCCCUUCUGAGUGUGCAAAGGCAGGGAGCGGGAGAAGCCGGAACUGUGGGCCUACCUUCCUGCCCUCCUGCCACGCUCGACCUACCUGGGGAAAUAGGCUGCCUUCUAGAAAGGUCUGUCUCUAAAAGCAUAGACACUGCGGAGUGUGAUGCCACAUGGCAUUGGUGCUCUGACCUCGGAGGCUCCUCUUUUUGUGGUGCCAGUAAGAGAGGGAUGUCUGCCCAGAGCCCCCCUUAGCGGGGUGGCUGGGAGGAGCAUCUCAGGGCCACCCCCGCAGGGUCGCAGUGCUGUCGUCGCGGGAGAUGUGCCUCCCCUGGCCCCCUCUGCUUUGCUGUGCUGCGCGGGCUGUGUUUCGUCUGCAUGGUUUGGAGUCGUCGUCCUCGUGCCUUCUCCUCCCUGUCACUCCUGUACAGGAGUUGCCACUGCCCCCUUUUCUACGUCCUUGCGUUUACCCCGGCCCUUCCCAAGCCCCGUAAAGUGGACACAGCGCCCCACUUGGUGUCCACGGGCUUCCGCCAUGCUCCCCAUGCGCUCACCCACGGGCUCCGGCUCCACUUCCCGCGCUCGCUCUGCCGUGCGGACUCGUUGACCUGGGACCGAAUGCUUCAUUGUGGUUUUUAGCUUGUGGGGCGCAGGCCCACUUAGCCCCUCAUCCAGCCGCCGCCGUUUAGGAGCCCCGCACACUGGAAAAGCCUAGCUUUGUGCAAAACCACUUCUCCCAUAAACCCCUCCCUGCAUCGGUGUGUCAGUAUCUGUCCCCAGCAGGGCGCACCUUUCUAACCGGCCCAGGAGGGCUGUCAUGGGUCUGUGGCUGCUCUGUGGGUCCCACGAGAAUGAACCCCCAGCUUCCAGAAGAAGCUCCAGCUGUGUGGCUCCCAGCACUUUGCAUUGAACCUGGGUUCAAGGCCACUGCCAUCUGGUGUCUAAAUAGCUUUGGACCCCAGGCAGGCACAAGGAAGAAGCUUCCGGGCUGCAUCCCCUGCCUGCCGUUACCAACCAACCACCGAGCCCUUCCUGUAUGCUGAAGGUGCUCAGACCCGGGUGCCAUUAAAUCCCCGUGAUGUCAGACCCAUCUUGAGGGGACCGUGCAUCCUUGAGGACUAGCUCACAGCCUGCUGGCUCCCUUGUCCCGGCUCUUCCCACUUCCUGGGCUGUGUCUCCGGGGCCCGGGUGGGGUGAGCUGCACAUGUGGGCUGGUCCAAGGUUUUGUCAUGUGGCCCUAACGCAUCUCGGGAUCUCCCCAGAGUUUCUGCCCCAGGAGCCUCCUUCUGGAAGCAGGUUUGGCUUUGGGGCUGGGGUGAGACCUCCGCCUCCAGGCUCCAGGGUGGGGAGAGAGAGGUGAGGCUCCGAGGCUGCGUCCCAGGGCCCCGCACUCUCCACCUCCCACCUGCUUCUAGCCCCAAAGGAGCAGGCUCUCGGAGGCAGGCUCCCUUGGGAACGCUCAUGUACAGACCAAGGUGUAAAUAAACACUUUGCUUUUCCUGCC